GACGAACGCUGGCGGCGUGCUUAACACAUGCAAGUCGAACGGAAAGGCCCUGCUUGCAGGGUACUCGAGUGGGGAACGGGGGAGUAACACGUGGGUGUAAUGUCCUCCACAUCGGGAGAAGACUGCGGAACAGGGGGUAAUAUAGCGGAGAGGCGAUCCUGCGUGAUGGGGGGGGAAAGAAAGUUUUGGCGGUGAGGGGUUGGCUGGCGGCCUAUCAGGUUGUUGGGUGGGUGAUGGCCUAGCCAGGCGUGGGUGGGUGGCCGGCCUGGGUGGGUGGACGGCCCACUUGGGACUGGGGAUCGGCCCCGAACCCUACGGGAGGCAGCAGUGGGGAAUAUUGCACAAUGGGCGCGAGCCUGAUGCAGCGACGCCGCGUGGGGGAUUACGGCCUUCGGGUUGUAAACUCCUUUCGCUAGGGACGAAGCUUUUUGUGACGGUACCUAGAUAAGAAGCACCGGCUAACUACGUG
rnacentral:rRNA from 1 species